AUUGAACGCUGGCGGAAUGCUUUACGCAUGCAAGUCGAACGGUAACAGGGACUUCGGUCCGCUGACGAGUGGCGAACGGGUGAAUAAUACAUCGGAACGUACCCAGUUGUGGGGGAUAACUACGCGAAAGCGUAGCUAAUACCGCAUACGACCUGAGGGUGAAAGCGGGGGACCGUAAGGCCUCGCGCAGUUGGAGCGGCCGAUGUUCGAUUAGCUAGUUGGUGAGGUAAAGGCUCACCAAGGCGACGAUCGAUAGCUGGUCUGAGAGGAUGAUCAGCCACACUGGGACUGAGACACGGCCCAGACUCCUACGGGAGGCAGCAGUGGGGAAUUUUGGACAAUGGGCGAAAGCCUGAUCCAGCCAUUCCGCGUGAGUGAGGAAGGCCUUCGGGUUGUAAAGCUCUUUCGGGUAGAAAGAAAUCGCAUGGGCCAAUACCCUGUGCGGAUGACGGUACUACCAUAAGAAGCACCGGCUAACUACGUGCCAGCCGCCGCCGUAA
rnacentral:rRNA from 1 species